rnacentral:tRNA from 1 species
GGGGUUGUGGCUCAGCGGUAGAGUGUUCGCCUACCACGUGUGAGGCCCUGGGUUCCUGGGUUCGAUCCUCAGCACCACA